rnacentral:rRNA from 1 species
GGGCCCGCACAAGCAGUGGAGUAUGUGGUUUAAUUCGAAGCAACGCGAAGAACCUUACCAAGGCUUGACAUACAGUGGAAUACGCCAGAGAUGGCGUAGCCCUACGGGGCUGCUGUACAGGUGGUGCAUGGUUGUCGUCAGCUCGUGUCGUGAGAUGUUGGGUUAAGUCCCGCAACGAGCGCAACCCCUGUCGUUAGUUGAUAACAGUAAGAUGAUCACUCUAGCGAGACUGCCGGUGACAAAUCGGAGGAAGGUGGGGACGACGUCAAAUCAUCAUGCCCCUUAUGUCUUGGGCUACACACGUACUACAAUGGCUAUAACAGAGGGAAGCUAAGCCGCAAGGCGGAGCAAAUCCCCAAAAAUAGUCCCAGUUCAGAUUGUGGGCUGCAACCCGCCCACAUGAAGUCGGAAUUGCUAGUAAUGGCAGGUCAGCAUACUGCCGUGAAUACGUUCCCGGGCCUU